rnacentral:sRNA from 1 species
AGAAUCACGUGACUGCUUGCAGGCUAAGUGAUCUGUCUAUUAGACAAUCAAACAUACAUGAGCAAGUAGGGCGAUAGCCCGGAAUGCGAAUGUAUGUAGCAUUUCGGGAGUGCGAAGCACGGAGAAAUGCGU